rnacentral:rRNA from 1 species
UACGUAGGGUGCAAGCGUUAAUCGGAAUUACUGGGCGUAAAGCGUGCGCAGGCGGUUAUGCAAGACAGAGGUGAAAUCCCCGGGCUUAACCUGGGAACUGCAUUGGUGACUGGCAGGCUUUGAGUGUGGCAGAGGGGGGUAGAAUUCCACGUGUAGCAGUGAAAUGCGUAGAGAUGUGGAGGAAUACCGAUGGCGAAGGCAGCCCCCUGGGCCAACACUGACGCUCAUGCACGAAAGCGUGGGGAGCAAACAGG